rnacentral:rRNA from 1 species
AACACGGACCAAGGAGUCUAGCAUGUGCGCGAGUCAUUGGGAAUAACUAAACCUAAAGGCGCAAUGAAAGUGAAGGUCCGCCUUGCGCGGACCGAGGGAAGAUGGGCGGUCACGGACACGUGCCGCUCCGCACUCCCGGGGCGUCUCGUUCUCAUUGCGAGAUGAGGCGCACCAAGAGCGUACACGCUGGGACCCGAAAGAUGGUGAACUAUGCCUGGUCAGGACGAAGUCAGGGGAAACCCUGAUGGAGGUCCGUAGCGAUUCUGACGUGCAAAUCGAUCGUCGGAACUGGGUAUAGGGGCGAAAGACUAAUCGAACCAUCUAGUAGCUGGUUCCCUCCGAAGUUUCCCUCAGGAUAGCUGGCGCUCGUCGCCUACGAGUCUCAUCCGGUAAAGCGAAUGAUUAGAGGCAUUGGGGUCGAAACGGCCUCAACCUAUUCUCAAACUUUAAAUGGGUGAGAUCUCCGGCUUGCUCGAACUUAUGAAGCCGCGAGACACGGAUCAGAGUGCCAAGUGGGCCAUUUUUGGUAAGCAGAACUGGCGCUGUGGGAUGAACCAAACGCCGAGUUAAAGCGCCUAAAUCGACGCUUAUGGGAUACCAUGAAAGGCGUUGGUAACUUAAGACAGCAGGACGGUGGCCAUGGAAGUCGGAAUCCG